GACGAACGCUGGCGGCGUGCUUAACACAUGCAAGUCGAACGGAAAGGCCUGCUUUCCCUUGUGUAUUGCGGGUACUCGAGUGGCGAACGGGUGAGUAACACGUGAGUGAUCUUCCCCCAACUUUGGUAUAAGCCUGGGAAACUGGGUCUAAUUCCCGAUAGGACUGCAGGGUGGUGCCUGUGGUGGCAAACGAUUUUCUAGUGGUUGGGGAUGAGCUCGUGGCCUAUCAGCUUGUUGGUGGGGUAAUGGCCGACCAAGGCGGGGACGGGUAGCCGGCCUGGGGUGGCCGACGGGCACAGUGGGACUGAGAUACGGCCAAGACUAGUACGGGAGGAAGCAGUGGGGAGUAAGGAGCGAUGGGCGGAAGCCUGAUGCAGCGACGCCGCGUGAGGGAUGACGGCCUUGGGGUUGUAGACUUCUGGCGGCCGAGAGGAAGCGACCUGGUUGGAAGGGUGGUGACGGUAGUGGUAGAAGAAGCACCGGCUAACUACGUG
rnacentral:rRNA from 1 species